rnacentral:lncRNA from 1 species
UUUUUUUUUUUUUUUUUUGUCUUUUUAGAGAUGGAGUUUUAGCCUGGGGUUGCCCAGGCUGGUCUUGAACUCCUCAGCUCAAGAACCCACCUUGGCUUCCCAAAGUGCUAGGAUAACAGGCGUGAGCCACUACACCUGGCCAGUAAUUUUUUAUUUUGAAAUAAUUUUAGAUUUACAGAAGAGCUGCAAAGACAGCACAAGAAAUUCCCACAUGCUCUUCAACCAGGUUCUUUUUUGUUUUGCUUUGUUCUUAUUUUUAUUUUUUCUUUUCUUUUUUUUUUUUGAGAU